CGGGAACUUUAGACAUUAAAAAAAAAAAAAAAAACUUCCAGAAGUUUCCACAUAAAACUCGUGUUGGAGACAAGUCCAGUGCGUAUUGAGCCAAGGAGAGGAAAGUUGUUCAAGCAAACUUAUCCUGGCUGUUUUUUAUUUGGAUUGAUUCACUCGAGGAUCUGUUGCUAUCUGCCGUGCGGCCUGGACUGAACCCUCCCAAUGAGACCCACCAAAGGCUUUGGAAAAAAUAAGAGGAGAACAUUAACGUUCCACAGCUACCUACGUUCCUUCAGGGCGGUAGGACAAAAGGAGUUCCUUGGAUCAUUUUUUUCUGAGAUCUCAGAUUUUUUUAAAUUUCGUUUGUCAGUCCUGACACCAGACUAAGAGAAAAGCGAUCACGGUUUUAUUUAUUUUAUUUUUUUAUCAAGGACUCUGGGUGUCGCUAUUUAGGUUGAAAAAGUUCAUUUUAAUUGCAUUUACUGUUAAUAGUAAAGAAAAAAAUAAUACAGUUGUGUUCCACUACAUUUUCUUUUGUCAGUGUGUCCUCUUGGAGUUGUUGAAUGCCGUUGCCAAUCUCUUACAGAAUCUGGAUUAGAUGAACCCUAAAAUUAUACAAUUUACAACCCGCUCACACGGGGAGAAGGGUUACAUAGACAUGAUUAUGAGGAACAGAUGAGCACAAAGAUCUUGAUCUUGAACAUGAUGAAUUUUUUGCACCAAAAUAUAUUGAAACCAGCUCAAUUCACAGACACGUCCAAAUGGAGUUUUUUUUACUUUAACCGUGACGUGGUGGUCCGCGAGUCCCAAAGUCUUGUGGGAAUGUUACACAGAUGACACCCGCACACAAACGCACGCUAGGCGUCGGCGGUCACGCUUUAAUGCGAGCUGGCAGCCGGCGGCGGGACACACGCGGAUCACAGAAGUGAGUCAGUGGGAUGAGACAGGCAUUCAAAAACAAGGAUGAAAAAAAAUAUGCUACUGUUCUUUUGCUGAGACUACAUUUUUAACUCUGGAACGACGCACAUUGCAGGCAUCGGCUGGGGACUUUUGCAAAACGGCCUUUUUGUUCACGUUGGAGUUUGUCUCCAUGAAACUCCUUAACCCUUCAUAGGAGAAUGCACAAGCUGCCAAGGACGGUGCUCGACGUUCAAUCCAUUUAGACUGGGAGGGGCGAAUGAGCAUUAAAACAACACAAUAAUGAUUAAAUUUGAUUGCUAAAUUUGGUUUUUAACUGUCGUACUGAUUAAACGUGACUUUGAUGUGUCCUUUUAUGAGUGUUAUUACUCGUUUUUAUUUGUGUUUUGCUGAUUUUCAUGUGCAGUUUGAAUUACCUUGUGUUGAAUUGUGCUAUACAAAUACAUUUUCCUUGAAUUACCUGAUAGGUUAACUCCAUCUUGAUCGAUCCAUAAUUGGGACAAACGAGUCCUAAAGCUAGAUUUAUUACGUCCUCUUCUCUCAAGUCAUCCAACAUUAGGCCAAUCAAAUUACACACUGACAAUUAGGGCCUAUAUGAAUAAACAUUUUGGUUAUAAGCCAAUGUUCUAUGUACUUGCACUGAACCAGCGCUUCCAGGGUCACAGUCAAGCCCAGAUAAACUGCUGGUAAUUAGCUGAUAUUUGAGGAGUUUCUGCAAGAACUCCCCAAAAAAUGCCCCUAAGCCUUCAAUUAACCCUUUCACCCAAUACUCCACCACGUCCUCACACAAAGCGCUGAGGUUGCCAAAACAAACAGCCAAUUGCGUUCAUGGGAACCUUCUGUGCAGGAAAGUGAAAAGUGAUCCCAGCAAGACGUGACAGGCAGAAAAAAGAAAGCAAAAGAAAGGGAGAAGAAAAGCAGACCAUUUAUGGACGCGGGGGAGAGUCGCUGAAAAGAAAUCCCUCUCACCUGCUUGCUUUUGGGCUGGUUCAGCUCUGCUGACAUGAAGCCACUUGACACCUUAAUGCACAAAAAGAGGAAAAAGACUCAAAUUACUGUGCGGAAAAAACAAAGCAAGUUCAAUUCAUUGCUACUGCAUGUAAAAGGGGAGCAAAUAAGAUCAUUUUUUUAACUGUAAAUGAUUAAGAGAAAUAAUUGAGUUUUUUUGGGGGGCAAAAAGGAUAUCUAGCAUCCAGUUAUUCAGUUGAUUAUUAAAAUUUUAUUA